GUCCACGCCGUAAACGGUGGAUGCUGGAUGUGGGGCCCUUCCACGGGUCCCGUGUCGGAGCCAACGCGUUAAGCAUCCCGCCUGGGGAGUACGGCCGCAAGGCUAAAACUCAAAGAAAUUGACGGGGGCCCGCACAAGCGGCGGAGCAUGCGGAUUAAUUCGAUGCAACGCGAAGAACCUUACCUGGGCUUGACAUGUUCCCGGCGACGGCGGAGACGUCGUUUCCCUUCGGGGCGGGUUCACAGGUGGUGCAUGGUC
rnacentral:rRNA from 1 species